ensembl:lncRNA
AGACAGUUAGCAUCAGCUAACAAUAUUUACUUAUUUCCAGUAUGGUUAUGAAGAAACAUUCAUACCUGUCUACUCCGCUAGUUAACGAUACACACACAAAAAUGUAUACUGUUGAUAAACAAUAUUAAAACAGACAUCGCACUGGGAAUUUGAACAUGCAUGAGUUAUUUUAUUUAAUCUGUGUUAUCAUAAUGUUUCCUUUUCAUUCGGUUCAUUUGAAUCAGUGAGUUGUCAACUCGAGAACAGCUGCAAUCGGAUUAUUCCAACUCGUGAAUGAAUCAUUUGGUGCGAUUUGCAAACCGAUUUAAAAGGUUCAUUGAAAAGAAUCAGUUCGUUCUUGAAUCAGAAACUGCUUCUGCGUCUCGGAGCACGUGAUAUAUUAUAAGGAGUAACGAUAUGUUUUAUGAAAUGUAGUGAAGUAAAAAGUACGAUCUUAUGCUUUGGAAUGUAGUGAAGUAAAAGUUAAAGUUACUAAAAAUAAAACUACUCCAGUAAAGUACAGGUACUUGAAAAAUGUACUUAAGCAUUAUUUUUGCCAAAAUCAUUGUUAUUUGUGAACGUAGGCGUUUGCGGAAGGCUUUAAGACCAAGCGGAAUCCUCCGUAAGCUGCUCCCGCUUCACAGCGUGCGGGGCUCGGGCAAACUGACCCAACAUUUAGCAAGACAGGAAAACAUUCAGUCUGCCUGAAGGAAGACAUAUUUCAUUGUAAGUUAAUGCUGUUAAAUAGAGAGUAAAAAAAAAAAAACCUAGAGUAGGCUAUUCUUAAACUUGGAGCUCAUUAUAUUGAAGUACAAAUCCAAACACCAGAAGCAACCUACACUCUCAGUGUUCUUUCACUGAAAAGUAUGCAUUUUAUUUAUUUAUUCACAGGCUAUAUGGUUGAAAUAGUAAUAUUUUAGUUGAAAACUUUAAGUGCCAUUGUUUAAAAAAAUGCAUCAAAUGUUUCAUAGACCUUCAGUUGUCAUGCUUUAAAAUUUCAUGCCAUUUGUAAUUUCACUGUAUUUUCACCUCCUAAAUUACUACCCCAAUUCUAUAAUGGUAAAAUUUAUUCAGACUGAUGGCAUUUUUUAUGACAUUAUUUAUUUUUAUUUUUAUUUUUAGAAUAGGCUAAUUGUAGCCUACAUAAAUGGAUGAAUCAAAACAAAUAUAACUUUUUAACUGCAGGCAGAUAUAGGCCUAUAUUAUUGUACAUUACAAAUAUUUGGAUCCCUUAUUAUAUUAAAGAAUAAAUACGUAUUUUCUUCAAGAAUAAACAUUAUAAAUAAAUAAUUAAAGAAAGAACCUCUAUUAGCCCUUAUUUGUAAGUUGUAGGAGAUAUGCGAGCGAUUCAUAGAUUUAAAAAAGAAAAAAGUGGGUGCUUGGUUUCAGAAAACGAAUACAGCUCGUAAAAAAUGCUAUGAUGAAAAAGUCAUGCUAACUUAUUAAUUCAUAGAAAUAAUUUAGGCAAUUAAAACCUUUUUUAUACUAGAUUCAACUUGAAUUUCAAUACUAUUAAACUGACUUUAAAAUCUCAAGGAGUUUAUAAGUUGAAACGGUAAAAUGUCACAGUGCAUGUUAAAUAGCCUAAAUGAACUUGUAUCUUGUAUAGUAUACGAAGACUUGAGUGCAUGUUAGCAUAAAACUAACAAUAUAAUUUGAUUUUUUUUUUUUUAAAUAAACAAUUCCUAUAUAAAAUGUGACAGCAACCUUUAUAUCAAACAUUUUGAAAUCGUCCACAGCUGAGCAUCGCGGGAGGCGGAUCUGAAGUUAUAUUUGUUUGUUCACGAAGUGAAUGUGAUGCACAAAGUCAUUUUUAGAUGCAAUGGAAAAAUAAAGCUGGAUAAAAACAUACACGAAAACACGCUAAAAAAUAAAUUAAGUUUGUGAGAGUUGCAUUUUAUUACAUUCAGAAAUAAUAACGGCAGGCCUAAUAAUGCUAUAGGCUAAUGUACCAACAGCACAUUUUUAGUUCCCUUCACUUUACAACAAAUCCUUUAAAUUUAAAAAAUUUAUCAGAACAGAACAAGAAUUACAAAUAUAUAAUUCUAAUGGAUAAAUAUAAUUGCAGCAGGCUAUAUAAUAAUAUAGGCUUAUAAAUAACAACAAAAAUAAUAAUAAUUAAAAAUAAUAUAAAGCGAUACAUUAUGUUGGGCUUAUCUCUCUCAUUCGGGACAAAUCCAAACAUGUUGCCCAUUUGAAGCUAAACUCUUAUUCAUGAGGUAAAAUAGGCUUUGGAUUUCACACGUGUUUCAGUAUCGACGGAAAAAAAAAUCAUAAUUAAUUCUUCUGUUUCUCCUAUAUGCGAUGU